CAGCAGCCACGGGAACACAGAGGGUGCGAGCGUUAAUCGGAUUUACUGGGCGUAAAGCGUGCGUAGGCGGCUUCUUAAGUCGGAUGUGAAAUCCCUGAGCUUAACUUAGGAAUUGCAUUCGAUACUGGGAAGCUAGAGUAUGGGAGAGGAUGGUAGAAUUCCAGGUGUAGCGGUGAAAUGCGUAGAGAUCUGGAGGAAUACCGAUGGCGAAGGCAGCCAUCUGGCCUAAUACUGACGCUGAGGUACGAAAGCAUGGGGAGCAAACAGGAUUAGAUACCCCGGUAGUCCCUGUCUCUUAUAC
rnacentral:rRNA from 1 species